rnacentral:rRNA from 1 species
AGAUUGAACGCUGGCGGCAUGCUUUACACAUGCAAGUCGAGCGGCAGCGCGGGGGCAACCCUGGCGGCGAGCGGCGAACGGGUGAGGAACACAUCGGAACGUGCCCCGGAGUGGGGGAUAACGCCGCGAAAGCGGCGCUAAUACCGCAUAUGCUCUGAGGAGGAAAGCGGGGGACCUGUGAGGGCCU